UACGGAGGGAGCUAGCGUUGUUCGGAAUUACUGGGCGUAAAGCGCACGUAGGCGGCUUUGUAAGUUAGAGGUGAAAGCCCGGGGCUCAACUCCGGAACUGCCUUUAAGACUGCAUCGCUUGAAUCCAGGAGAGGUGAGUGGAAUUCCGAGUGUAGAGGUGAAAUUCGUAGAUAUUCGGAAGAACACCAGUGGCGAAGGCGGGUCUCUGGGCAGUAACUGACGCUGAGGAGCGAAAGCGUGGGGAGCGAACAGG
rnacentral:rRNA from 1 species